AAUCUCUGUUCUUCGGGCAGGCAUCCGUGAAUGCGGCUUGGACUCCGGCACAGGUCCUCGCAUUGAAGUUUCCGGGUAUGUUUUCCUUUUCCUCAGCUUCAUGGGAAGGGGUCUCCAGUUCUCCCCGGAGUGCCUACAUGGACCUCACUAGUCUUGGCAUCACCCCGUACGGCCUCGGAGACACAAGCUCACUCCAUCUUCUCUCGGGGGCUCGGCAGUGCCCCUGUGAUCUUAAUGGCUCCAGCUCAGACUCGCCUAUUUCUCUUUCUCAUCACUGAAGGCAGUGUUUGGAUGCUGGAGUCCCUGGGCUUCGGAGUCCCAGGCAAGCCACUGCUUCGCCCACAGAGGAGGGAGGCCGUGGACUCAUGGCUCAGUGAAUUUUCACCAGACAACGCGCCUUGAGACCAGUGAAAUCUUUCUGUGCCCCACUGAGGCCCUUCCCGCCUCUCUACAUUGUAAUCUCAUUUUUGCUUACCUGGUGGGAUCCGAAGAGGACUCCGGACAACACAUCCGGCGCCCUGAAGCUCCUCCUCCGCCAGGAGCGGGAGCCGCAGCAGAAGACCAUUCAAUGAGGUCCUGAGAACAGGAGUCUUAUGGGUUUGACCUGGGUCUUGCCCACGUCCCUUCCCCAGGCCUCCCCAAGCCAGCCACUUUCACUGAGGCGGCAGUCCCCGCCGCCAUUUUUUAAAGGAGUCGCAGCCUUUCCGGAGCCAGGCGCCAGUCGACUAGCCAAUGCGCAUGCGUGAGGCGUUAUUCCUGAGGUCAUAGAGACGGCCACAGUUGCCCGGGGAUAGGUUCCUGAGACUGGGCAAAGGAGGAGCCCUGUGUAUCGGUGCGUCAGGUGGGGGCUCAGACCACUCCUCGCCAGGACGUCACAGUAUAGUCUCUGAAGGCCAGAAUUCGCGGAGGGUCGACCAGGAGUUUGAAAGCUGAGGCCGAUCUCCGGGGAAGCAGCGCAGAAUCCCAGCCUCAGGCCUGCACUGUCGGAAUACAGGAGAUUCAGAAGACGACAAACUUAUAUAAUACACCUGCUCAUAGAGAUGUACUGAUAUCCAUCUAUUCCACGUAAUGAAAAAGACAACAGAUUGAAGCCAUACUUACCUCAGCAUGAGUGAUGUGGGAUAAUCCAGGCUGCCUGUGCCUUGUGAACACACACCCAAGUGAUGACUAACAGUCUCAAUAGCCUAUAAGCACGGCCAAGUUACACAGUGAGACUUCACGUCAGAGAAACACUGGAAGGAAAAGAAUCUGUAAAGUAACCAACCUAGCCAUUUGUUCAUAAAUUUUAAUGAGCCUAUAAGGAUCACUAAAUGUUUGAGAAAACCAACAACAAAAAAUAAAGCCUGAACAACUAGAAAAAAAAAAA